UUUCCCUCAGAAUAGCUAGAGAUCGGGUGCGAAUUUUAUCGAAUAAAGCCAAUGAUUUGAGGCUUCAUGGGGAAACACCCUGACCUAUUUUCAAACUUUAAUCAGAAGGAUGACGUGACUUCUUUGUUGAGCUGCACCACGGAAUCAAGAACUCCAAGUGGGCCAUUUUUGGUAAGCUGGACUGGCGAUGAGGGAUGAACCG
rnacentral:rRNA from 1 species